ACACUGACAAGCUCUGGUUCAGUGUGGAAGGGCCCUUCAUAAUGCUGUGAACAUCAGGUGGUAAGGAUAAUUGAGACCAUCUCAGGGGCUGGCAAAAACUCUACCAAAACAAACCAAGGUUUAUGGCUCCUUUGCAUCAUUCUGGAUUGAGAAAUGAGGCCAAAUGUGAACUAAUGGAAAAAAGUAAGGCUGAUGAGUUCAUUUAGAAAUGAACCGUUCCAACGUUCUUCUUGACAUCUCUCAAGAGGGCCAGCCGUUCAGGGUGCACUUUGUGGCCUCCACAGCUCUGCUCCUUGCUGGAAACAUCCCCCUUCUGUGUCCUCCACUUGCCCAAGUCUGACCUGUGCCUUCAAGGCACUUAACAUGCAGUUGUUGUUGAAAUAUCUCAAGAUUGUUUUUGCAUGCUGCAAAACAGUGUCUUCUGUGGACAUUGAGACUCUGUGGAUGUGUGUGGCCAGUAGUCUCUAGGGAUAGUAC